rnacentral:rRNA from 1 species
GACGAACGCUGGCGGCGUGCUUAACACAUGCAAGUCGAACGGAAAGGCCCUGCUUUUGUGGGUUGCUCGAGUGGCGAACGGGUGAGUAACACGUGAGUAACCUGCCCUUGACUUUGGGAUAACUUCAGGAAACUGGGCCUAAUACCGGAUAGGAGCUCCUGCUGCAUGGUGGGGGUUGGAAAGUUUCGGCGGUUGGGGAUGGACUCGCGGCUUAUCAGCUUGUUGGUGGGGUAGUGGCUUACCAAGGCUUUGACGGGUAGCCGGCCUGAGAGGGUGACCGGCCACAUUGGGACUGAGAUACGGCCCAGACUCCUACGGGAGGCAGCAGUGGGGAAUAUUGCACAAUGGGCGGAAGCCUGAUGCAGCAACGCCGCGUGCGGGAUGACGGCCUUCGGGUUGUAAACCGCUUUCGCCUGUGACGAAGCGUGAGUGACGGUAAUGGGUAAAGAAGCACCGGCUAACUACGUG